rnacentral:rRNA from 1 species
UACGUAGGGGCCAAGCGUUGUCCGGAUUUAUUGGGCAUAAAGAGCUCGUAGGCGGUUGGGUAAGUCGGGUGUGAAAACUCCAGGCUCAACUUGGAGAUGCCACCCGAUACUGCUCUGACUUGAGUUCGGUAGGGGAGUGGGGAAUUCCUGGUGUAGCGGUGAAAUGCGCAGAUAUCAGGAGGAACACCGGUGGCGAAGGCGCCACUCUGGGCCGAAACUGACGCUGAGGAGCGAAAGCGUGGGUAGCAAACAGG